rnacentral:rRNA from 1 species
AACGAACGCUGGCGGCGCGCCUAAUACAUGCAAGUCGAGCGAGAAGACGUAGCAAUACGUUUGUAAAGCGGCGAACGGGUGAGGAGUACAUGGGUAACCUACCCUCGAGUGGGGAAUAACUAGCCGAAAGGUUAGCUAAUACCGCGUACGCUCCUUGGACUUCGGUUCAGGGAGGAAAGCGAUACCGUGGGUAUCGCGCUCUUGGAUGGGCUCAUGUCCUAUCAGCUUGUUGGUGAGGAACGGCUCACCAAGGCUUCGACGGGUAGCUGGUCUGAGAGGACAAUCAGCCACACUGGCACUGCGACACGGGCCAGACUCCUACGGGAGGCAGCAGUAAGGAAUAUUGCGCAAUGGGCGAAAGCCUGACGCAGCGACGCCGCGUGGGGGAUGAAGGUCUUCGGAUUGUAAACCCCUUUCGGGAGGGAAGAUGGAACGAGCAAUCGUUCGGACGGUACCUCCAGAAGCAGCCAC